CGCGUAGGUGGUUUGAUAAGCGAGAUGUGAAAGCCCCGGGCUUAACCUGGGAACGGCAUUUCGAACUGUCAGGCUAGAGUAUGGUAGAGGGUAGUGGAAUUUCCUGUGUAGCGGUGAAAUGCGUAGAUAUAGGAAGGAACACCAGUGGCGAAGGCGGCUACCUGGACCAAUACUGACACUGAGGUGCGAAAGCGUGGGAGCAAACA
rnacentral:rRNA from 1 species